rnacentral:lncRNA from 1 species
GCAGGGAGAUCCCUCCACCAGCUGGUCUUUGAGGGUUCUUUGAACGAGGGAACUGUGGUGGCUCCAGAAACCCACCUGAUGUGCCAACAGAACUGCCUUCCUUAGAGGGGGGAGUUGCAGCCGAUGCUCUGGGGGCUGAAUUUUCAGCUGCUGGGAGUUUUGGGCAUCCAGCGGGAUGAAAUGUUUCAGGUUGCCAGCUCGGAGCAUGUCAGAGCAUGUGUGCACGUGUGCUCAUGGUCUCCCUGCACACAGAGUGUUCCUGUAACUGCUGUGCCCUGCAGGGCACUCCCAGGGAGCUCACAAGGGUGAGAGAGGUUAAAGUUCCAGGAAUGGGGCAAAAGGGGCAUUUCCUGGGUCCUCUUCCAUUUUUUUGUCUGCUGUGAAGGCUCAGCUGCCCCUCCAAGGUUCUCCUUUCUGACCACGCUGUUCCUUGCAGGUUCCCAGCUCCGAGAUGUGCUCCAGACAAAGCUCCGGAGGCUGCCACGGGAUGUCCUCCCAGUCCAGUGGGUGCCACAGUGGGGGCUCCUCGUGCCACGGGGGUGGCUCCUCCAGCUACCAGUCCCAGGGCUCCUCCUGCUGCGGGAGCUCCUCUGGCUAUGGCCUGGGAGGGGGGUACGGUGGUGGGUCCUCAGGAGGCAAGGUCAUCAUUGCAGGAGGAAGCAGUGGAGGAUCCUCUGGAUGCUGCAGUGGAGGAUCCAGCAGUGGCUGCGGGAUAGGGGGAGGAUAUGGUGGUGGAUCUUCAGGAGGCAAGGUCAUCAUUGGAGGUGGAGGUUCCAGUGGAGGAUGUUCAGGCUAUGGGAUAGGAGGAGGGUACGGUGGUGGCUCUUCAGGAUCAAAGAGCAUCAUUGUGGGUGGAGGUAGUAGUGGAGGUUCCUCUGGAUGCUGCAGUGGAGGAUCCAGCUAUGGGCUGGGAGGAGGAUAUGGUGGUGGUUAUGGUGGUUAUGGCUCUUCAGGGUCAAAGACCAUCACUGUAGGUGGAGGCAGUGGAGGAUGCAGUGGUGGCUAUGGCAUUGGAGGAGGGUACGGUGGUGGAUAUUCAGGAUCAAAAAGCAUCAUUGGAGGUGGAAUCAGUGGGGGUUCCUCUGGAUGCUGCAGUGGGGGAUCCUCAGGAUAUGGCAUAGGAGGAGGAUACGGAGGUGGUUCCUCAGGAACAAAGGUCAUAAUUGGAGGGGGAAGCAGUGGUGGAGGUUCCUCUGGAUGUUGCAGUGGAGGUUCCUCAGGAUAUGGGAUAGGAGGAGGAUAUGGUGGUGGUUAUGGUGGUGGAUCUUCAGGAUCAAAGAGCAUCAUUGUAGGUGGAGGUGGUGGAGGUUCCUCUGGAUACUGUGGUGGAGGGUCC